UACAGAGGGGGCAAGCGUUGUUCGGAAUUACUGGGCGUAAAGGGCGCGUAGGCGGCCUGUUAAGUCGAACGUGAAAUCCCCGGGCUCAACCCGGGAACUGCGUCCGAUACUGGCAGGCUUGAAUUCGGGAGAGGGAUGCGGAAUUCCAGGUGUAGCGGUGAAAUGCGUAGAUAUCUGGAGGAACACCGGUGGCGAAGGCGGCAUCCUGGACCAAUAUUGACGCUGAGGAGCGAAAGCCAGGGGAGCAAACGGG
rnacentral:rRNA from 1 species